rnacentral:misc_RNA from 1 species
GAUGAAGAACGCAGCGAAAUGCGAUAAUUAAUGUGAAUUGCAGAAUUCAGUGAAUCAUCGAAUCUUUGAACGCACAUUGCGCCCGCCAGUAUUCUGGCGGGCAUGCCUGUUCGAGCGUCAUUUCAACCAUCAAGCCCCCGGCUUGUGUUGGGGACCUGCGGCUGCCGCAGGCCCUGAAAAGCAGUGGCGGGCUCGCUGUCACACCGAGCGUAGUAGCAUACAUCUCGCUCUGGGCGUGCUGCGGGUUCCGGCCGUUAAACCACCUUCAUAACCCAAGGUUGACCUCGGAUCAGGUAGGAAGACCCGCUGAACUUAAGCAUAUCAAUAAGCGGAGGA